rnacentral:rRNA from 1 species
UACGUAGGGUGCAGGCGUUAAUCGGAAUUACUGGGCGUAAAGAGCGCGCAGGCGGUCGUUCAAGUCGCGUGUGAAAGCCCCCGGCUCAACUGGGGAGGGUCACGCGAUACUGAUCGACUCGAAGGCAGGAGAGGGUAGUGGAAUUCCCGGUGUAGUGGUGAAAUGCGUAGAUAUCGGGAGGAACACCAGUGGCGAAGGCGACUACCUGGCCUGUUCUUGACGCUGAGGCGCGAAAGCUAGGGGAGCAAACGGGG